UUCAGCAAACUCAUACAAGGUGUUCUGCAAAGGGAUUCAUUAACGUGACACAAAAAUUCUUCAACAUGAUUUGCAAGAUUUCUUAGCUUUGAGAACAAUUUCUACAAGUUGGAGUACAAUCUGUAGCUUCUCACUUUCUUAGCUUUGAGAACAAUUUCUACAAGUUGGAGUACAAUCUGUAGCUUCUCACUUCUCAAUUGAGAACAAUUUCUACAAGCAUAUUUAAGGUGAGGUUGACGCAAGAAUCAAUCCUGAUUGUCUCUUCGACAAUUUCACGACUAUAGCGCCGGUUUUUCUCCUUAUCUUAGCAAGAUGGAAAUUACUUCGUAUAAAAAAGUAAGGUAUGUUAAGGUUAUCCCUUCUUUCUUUUGGCCUGAUCUAUACGACACAAAAGAAAUGAGCAAAUGCACAAUUUCUAUAAAUGACUUUAUUCAUAGAAAUACUAGAGAUGCUUAUGUUCUUGAUUCCCCAUGUGUCAUAUUAUUCUAUCAUCUUUUUAUGGGUCUCAAAAAAUACGUAAGUUGAUAAAGUUUAUUUUAUGAUAUUAAUUAAAGUCAUAAUGGUCUUAUGACACUCCGAAAGAUUUUAUUGACGUACUUUUUUGUGCAUUGCACUCAUUUAUACAUGUACAUUGACCCAUGACCAGAUGGCGUUAUAUACUCGUAUAUAUGUAUAUUAUAUUUAAAUAGGAUAUGAAAAAAAGAUUACGGCGUUAUAUACGCACCACUACUCGAUCAGCUGGUAUAUGUUAAUUAUUUUUUCCACAGUGGCCGAGAUGAUAUAAUGGGAUUCCCUCAAAGGCCUGAUGAUAUUAUGAAACAUGUACCUAUGCACGACAUGAAAUUCAUACGCAUGUGCAUGACACUAUAAUUAUUUCAUGAUUUACAGAGUUAUCCAGACUUAAAGGUUGAGUCAUUUACUCUAUAUUUCUUCCAUGUUUGUUAUGUACUUAUUUAUGUGCCUUACAUACUCGGUACAUUAUUCGUACUAACGUCCCUUUUGCCUGGGGACGCUGCGUUUCAUGCCCGCAGGUCCCGAUAGACAGGUCGAGAGUCCUCCAAGUAGGCUAUCAGCUCAGCGGAAGAUGUUGGUGUGCUCCAUUUGUUCCGUAGUUGCUUAUUUGGUCAGUAUAAUUAGGACAUGUAUGGAUUGGUAUGGCGGGGCUCAGUCCCGACCUUUAUGAUACUUAUGUACUCUUAGAGGCUUGUAGACAGAUGUCAUGUAUACGAAUACUUGUAUGGCCUUGUCGGCCUAUGUUUUGAGUUUUUAAAUGAUCAUGUUGGCCUAUUAGGCCCGCGUGUCACGUGUAUAUGAUGAUGUAAUAAUAAAGAUACGUUACGUUGGUACUCGGUUGAGUAAGGUACCGGGUGCCCGUCGCGGCCCAUCGGUUUGGGUCGUGAUGCUGGAGACAGGUAAGAUAUGAGUCAGCAAAUAGUUUGUACCAUAUAGAGACAUGUGAUCGGUGCAAAAUAAGUUCUGAAGGCAUUGGAACCGGGAACGACGAUUUGAAAGGAAGACAUCAGUUGGAGAAGACACUAUUCAAUGAGCAGUCGUUACAGAGAAUCUCUAUAUUCAUGUUCAACCGUUAUGCAGCCAGCAAUACAGAUUUUAUUCUCAUUCAAGAAGAGCUUGAUUUGGGAAUUUUGUCUCCGUGAAUAGAGAUAUUUAAGGAAAAAUUGUAUCCAUGGUUAUACAUGAAAUAUUCUGUACUCAAAAGCUAAAUCAACACUUAUUCUAUUGAAUCGUUAUCUUUCUUGUGUUUUUAACAUUGUUCUUAUUUCUACUACGGAGAAACUAAAUUCACAAUCAGGC
rnacentral:lncRNA from 1 species